rnacentral:rRNA from 1 species
AUGGCGUCCGGCGGCGGCGCGGACGUGCCGGAGUCGGAGGUGGUGACACUGCGGUUCGCCCGGCAGGUGGUGGCGGGGCGGUGGUUCAUGGCGCUCGCGUGCCUGCUCAUCCUGUCCGCGUCGGGGGCGACCUACGCCUUCGGCAUCUACUCCACGGCGCUCAAGUCGUCGCUGGGCUACGACCAGCGCACGCUCAACACGCUCGCCUUCUUCAAGGACCUCGGCAGCAACGUCGGCGUCGUCGCCGGGCUCCUCAACGAGGCCGCGCCGCCCUCGGCCGUGCUCGCCGUCGGCGCGGCCAUGAACCUCGCCGGCUACCUCAUGGUCUACCUCGCCGUCGCCGGCCGGACCUUGCGCCCGCCGCUCUGGCUCAUGUGCACCUACGUCUGCGCUGGGGCCAAAUCGCAGUCCUUCGCCGGCACCGGCGCGCUCAUCACCUGCGUCAAGAGCUUUCCAGGGAGUGGCCGCGGGGUCGUGCUGGGCCUGCUCAAAGGCUACGUCGGCCUCAGCGGCACCAUCUUCACGCAGCUCUACCUCGCCAUCUACGGCGGGGACGACUCCAAGUCCAUCCUGCUGCUCAUCGCCUGGCUCCCCGCAGCCGUAUCCGUCGUCUUCCUCCCCGUCGUUCGCGUGAAGCCGCCGCCGCCUAGACGAAGCGCCGGCGCUAACGACGAUGGCGCUUUCUUCUGCUUCCUCUACAUCUCCGUCGCCCUCGCCUCCUACAUACUCGUGAUGAUCGUCGUCCAGAAGCAGAGCAGCUUCUCGCACGCUGCCUACGCCGCGUCGGCCACCGCGCUGCUCAUUCUCCUCAUCCUUCCCCUGCUCUCCGUCGUCGUCCGGCAGGUGUACUACUACUACUACUGGCUCUACAAAAGAGAGCUCCAGCAAGAGCCUCCGCCGGAGCCCCCGACAUCGACAUCGACAUCGACAUGGGUGACCGCCGAGAAGCCAACCGCUCAAGUCGUGCAAGUGGUAGAGCAUCCGCCGCCGACGUCGCCGUCGUCUUCUUCUUGCCUCGGCUCUUGCUUGAAGCACAUGUUCAACCCGCCGGCGCACGGGGAGGACUACUCCAUCCCUCAGGCGCUAGUGAGCGUGGACAUGCUGGUGCUGUUCCUGGCCACCAUCUGCGGCGUGGGCGGGACGCUGACGGCGAUCGACAACAUAGGCCAGAUCGGGCAGUCGCUGGGGUACCCGGCACAGAGCAUCAACACCUUGGUCUCCCUCGUCAGCGUCUGGAACUAUGCCGGACGGGUCACGGCCGGGUUCGCGUCCGAGGCCCUGCUGGCGCGGUACGGCGUCCCGCGGCCGCUCGCGCUCACGCUGGUGCUCCUCCUCUCCUGCGCCGGCCACCUACUGAUCGCCCUCGCCGUGCCGUGGUCGCUCUACGCCGCCUCCAUGAUCGUCGGCUUCUGCUUCGGCGCGCAGUGGCCGCUCAUCUACGCCAUCAUCUCCGAGGUGUUCGGGCUGAGGUACUACGCCACGCUCUACAACCUGGGCGCCGCGGCCAGCCCCGUGGGCGCCUACCUGCUCAACGUGUGCGUCGCCGGGCGGCUCUACGACGCGGAGGCGGCGAGGCAGCGCGGGGACGGCGAGAGCAGGACGUGCAUGGGCGUGCGUUGCUUCAGGGAGUCGUUCCUCAUCGUAACGGCCGUCACCGUGGGCGGCGCGCUCGUGUCGCUGGUGCUGGUGUGGAGGACGUGGAGCUUCUACAAGGGAGACAUCUACGCCAAGUUCAGGGAUGCCGUGGCCGUCCAGGACUCAUCCGACGGUGGUUGCGCGGUUGAGCAGCGGCCGCAGGAGCCGAGUCAACACCGGUAA